UCAUCCCAAUCACUUACUAGCUACAUGAUGUCGGGCAAGUGGCUACAGCUCUUUGAGCCUCACUCUCCUCACCUGUAAAAUGGAUGUAAAAAUUGUAUUCCCCCCUUAUAGGGUUAUUGUGAGGAUUAAAUGAGAUAAUGCUAGUGAAGGGCAUUAUCUGUACCUGGCAUAUAGCACUCAAUACUUGUUAGAAAAGCCUUUUUUUUCCCCAUUCUCAUUUAAAUCUAAUGAGGAAGGUACUAACCUUAUUUCACAAGUGAAGAAACUGAGACUCAGAGGUUAAAUUAUUUGUUGAAAGUCAACAGUUAGCUGGGUACAGUGGCUCAUGCCAAUAAUCCGGCACUUUGGGAGGCCAAGGCAGGCAGAUCACUUGAGAUCAGGAGUUUGAGACCAGCCUGGUCAACAUAAUGAAACCCCAUCUCUACUAAAAAAAAAAAAAAAAAAAAAUUAGCUGGGCAUGGUGGCACACACCUGUAAUCCCAGCUACUCAGGAGCCUGAGGCAGGAGGAUUACUUGAACCUGGGAGGUGUGGGUUGCAGUGAGCCAAGAUUUCACCAAGAUUGCACUCAGCUUGUUAAAAAAAAAAAAAAAAAAAAAAGAAUACCAGUAAGUGGGGAUCAUUGAGAGAAAAGAAAAAAAAAAAAAGAAAAGAAAAAAGCCAAAAGCUAAUAAGUUAAAGACUUGAGAUUUGAAUCCGUAUCUUUCUGAUUCCAUUCUUACAGAACUAGACUAAGGGAGUGCCCUGGGCUCAAGUUCUGCCUGACCUCCGGCCACUUUGUGACUGAGUAAAUUCUCUCAGAGCCUCGGUAAAUUUCCCUCUCUGUAAGACCAGACUGGUGGAUCACUGUAAGGGUGGAGUUCCCCAUCAAAAUCAUCUUGAUUUGCUUUUCUAGAUUACUGAUGUUCUUUCUCCGAUGCUGUGAUCUGCCCCCGUGCAGGAUGCACAGUCCUUCAUCCCUCCCUCCUUUCCAUGAUGAUGCCAUCCAGAAGCCACUGUUCCCAAAAACUGUGAUGCUUCUCCUUGGCAUGCUGGGGAGGAGUAAAGGUUAGGACGACUGUGAGUGAGCACUGAGAGCCAGGGUUCCCCUGUGUGUCUCUGAAAGUUGUGUGCUGAACAACUAUGCGCCAUUUACCAGAUGGGACAUGCGCUGCUGGACAUGAGGACCCUGCUGACAGUCAUCCUUUUCUAACACUUGAAUGCUUUUUAGUUAUCCAAAACGCUUGAUGACAAUCUGUUGACCUAUAUUCAAAUACUGAAAGAACACAUACCCACAUGUCAACAGUGCUUCUCUGUGGGCACUGAAAUAACAGGAUUUAAAUGUUUUCCCUGCCUUGCCCCUGAAUGGGCUACAUUGAACUUGCAUUGCUCUUGUAAUUAGAAAUUCUAUAUAAAGGCUCAGUUUAAAUGUCUUUAAACCAAAAUAAGUUCCCAUUGACAAAUAGUCAUGUGUUUCAUGUUUCCUGGGGCAAGGGCAGGGAUGAAGAGAGUGAAGACUGACUCCUUGCUCAGUGAUCCCCUAGGAGGCACAGGAAUGGAGGCGGGGGGUUGCUGUAUGGCUUGCGGGCUGCUCAGCCAUCUGAUUUGAUUUUGAUUUUGCGAUUAAAAUUACUCUCAUUUAUUGAGCACUUAAUGCUGCGAUGCUUGCUUUAGAUGCUCCAUCCCAUUCCUACCUGUAAAAUGGGGUCACAUGGUUGGCCAGUUACUAAAGCUCUGAGAUUGACUGCCUGGGAACUUGGAUAAGCAAUUCCACUUCCUUACCUCAGUUUGUCCUCAGUGAAAUGACUGCUAUGAGGAUUAAAUAAGAUAACAGUGUCCUUAGUAUGUGUCAGGCACUGUUCUAGUGUUUUACAUAUAUACCAUGUAAUUCAAGAGGCCUAUGAAGUAGCUGCUCUAAGUAUCCCUGUUUUACAGAAGACGUAAAAGUCCCAAAGAGGCGAUAUAACAUCUGAGGUCACCUGGCUGUCCCCUUAAUGGCAGAGAUGAAAUCAAACUGAAGUUGGCCUGAUCCCAAAGUUGUGGUAAUAGUCCUUUCAAGCUUCCUAGUCCCUUUUAUGGAACAAGAUCUAGGAUGUAUAGAUAGAAGGGAGAUGGGAGACAGGGAAGGAAGAAAAGUAGAUAGGUUGGUUGAUGGUAUCUUUAAGCUAGAUAGAUUUGUAAGCUUCUGGUGGGCAGAAACCAUACAAGGGAAAAUAAAUCUCAUAUAGUACUUGUCCUGUGUCUCAACACAAUAGGUGUUCAAUAAAUGUUUGUUGAAUAAAUGAAAAAUGGAUGAAUGAAUAUAAUUUACACAAAUUACUGACCUUCUGGGCAAAUUAGGUGUUGCCUUCUACCCACCCUGCCCCCAAGGAAGACCUCCAAAGUUUGAAUUCCUCUACUCCCUCUUAUUUUCCUGUACUGAUGCUUUCUCUUUGCACCCGCAACUUCAAGUCUGUAAAUAGUUUCCCAUCAUGCCUCAGUGGGAUCGACCUGGGGAUUAAAUUAAAUGAGAUCUUGAUGUAAAGCCAAUGGCAAAUAGAUACCCAAUAAAAGGUAGCUGGUGUUAUAGUGAGCACCCAGCUUAGAAAAAAGGCCUCAGCCCCUUCCCCUUUCCACCCUCAGUGCACAGCUAAGUCCACAGUAUUCAGCACUCAACCUUCCUUAAAAACAAUCUCUGCUAUAUUCAGAGCUCUUUUCAAAGUGUUUUCCUAUGUUUCCUCUCCUCUGAUCCAUACAGCUACCCCAGGAGGAGGGGACAAGAGUGCAUUGUUGGCCUGGUUUGUUAGAUAGACGGGUUCAGAGAGAGUGCCCCUAGUUAAGUGGAGGACUUUGGAUUGACCUUCAACUUUCAAAGCAUUAUCCUAGAUACCAUUAUGGGUCCUAAGGGGUCACAGAAGUGCAGCCCUGGGCACUCACUCAAAGCUCAUUAAAAUAUUCUUUACAAGUGAGAUUUUUUGUUUUUUUGUUUUUUUUUUUUUGAGAUGGAGUCUUGCCCUGUCGCCCAGGCUGGAGUGCAAUGGCACAAUCUUGGCUCACUGCAACUUCCGCCUUCUGGGUUCAAGCGAUUCUCCUGGCUCAGCCUCCCAAGUAGCUGGGAUUACAGGCGUCCGCCACCACACCCAGCUAUUUGUUUGUUUGUUUGUUUUUGAGAUGGAGCCUUGCUCUGUUGCCCAGGCUGGAGUCCAGUGGUAUGAUCUUGGCUCACUGCAACCUCUGCCUCAUGGGUUCAGAUGAUUCUUGUGCCUUAGCCUCCUGAGUAGCUGGGACUUCAGGUACACACCACCAUGCCUGGCUAAUUUUUUUGAUAUUUUUAGUAGAGACAGGGUUUCACUGUGGUAGCCAGGAUGGUCUUGAUCUCCUGACCUUGUGAAUCAACCCACCUCAGCCUCCCAAAGGGCCGGGAUUAUAGGUGUGAGCCACCAUGCCCAGCAAAGCUCAUUAAAAUAUUCUUUAACAUUUCAUUUGAACAUUUAACAUUUAAAGUAUAAGCUUCAUUAUAAUGUUCUUAAGCAGAGGGAUAGGCCACACACCCUGCAUAGAGAAUAUGGCCUUUCUUUGAAGGCAUGGAUGGACCUGGAAGCUGUGCCUGCAGAGCAGUGGAAGGGGCAGCUUUCAGUCCCUUUUGCAUUUUGUACUUUAGAUUGUUAUCCCAGUUCUUCCAAUAACACCACCUACAUUCCUUCCUGGAGCUUCCUUGGACAUGAGGGAUCAUGGAGUCUAAAUAGUCACCCUGAAAUCUCUCCUUAAAAAUAAAAGUCUCUUAAAACAAGCAGUUUUUUUUUUCAUUUAUCCAGUUGAUAAAGAUGAAAGAAAAUGCUAAUCACACUACUGUCCAGGGAAAACAAGCACCCUCCUUGCUGGAAGGAGAGUGAGCCAGUCCAAGCUUUGGCUAUUGGGUUUAGCUCAUCCUUUGAUCUAGCAAUUUCACUCACAGGAAUUUUGUCUAAGCAAAUAAUCUUUGUGUGCAAAGAGUUACCUACAAGGAUAUGCGUCAGAGCAUUGUUUGUAAUCCUGAAAAAUUAGAAUUAAUAAAUAUACUCUUCAGCAGAGAUUCAGUAAAUUAAGAUACCUGAAUGUAGCUGCAUGCCCCGCUACAGUUUAAAAGGAUGCUGCAGAGGUUUCCUUAGUACCAUGGAUGUUAUUUACUGUGGUUUCAGUACAGUUAGCAGUUAUGUGUCCUCAUGAUGUUCCAGGCACUGGACUCAGUGUUUGACCUCAUAUAAUUCUCACAACCACCUUAUGAUGUAAGUACUAGUAUCCUUAUUUUGCAAGUGAGGAAAGUGAGGCCCAGGAGUGAAACUUGCUAAGGUUAUUUUCAGGGAGUUUCUGAGCUAAGUCUUGAAUCUGGGUCUGAUUCCCUACUUUUAAGUCUUCCAUUUAUGUUUAGUAAAUUAGUCCAUUCCUAUUUUUAAACUCUAUAUGAAUAGAGAAAACAAUAAUUCACCCCAGGGAGUAUUUAUUGGGGUCAGUGGUGAUUUAUGCUUUAUUUUGUUUCUGUGGAUAUUAUUUCUUCUGUUAAUAGAAAAAAUAAACUUUAUAGUUAUUGAAAAGUAACAAAUCAGAGAAGGCUUAUCCUCUGCCCAGGCAGAGAAAAGGAAGAAGCAGCAAGAGUGCUGUCUUGAGAUUCUUUCUCUGUUGCCAGGAACCAGCCAGAACAGGAGGCAGCCAGGGAGAGAGGAGGCAGGAAGAAUGCAGUCCUGGAAGGAGAGGGCCUGCUGGGAAGAACAGAACCCAGCUGCCUUGGCCCCAGGGGUCAGACAGGGGUUGAGAUGAGGAUUUCCUUGAAAUUGGAGGACAAUUGGCCUAGGCCUGGCUUGGACAGAGGGUCUUGGUGCCCCAGUGCUGAAUGGAAUGAGUAGGUGGCCAGGGUCAGUGCUGCCUUCCUAGGUGAGGGUUGGGUGGGGUGAUUUGGGGCAGGGCAGGGCGGGACCUGCUCUGCUCAGAGAAGUUCAGAUAGGCACAAUUAAUCCAUAAGGUCCUAACUUCUCCUGUUUCUUAGGAGUGUUUCUUCAAAGGCUGCCAUUGGUGUUUAUUUAGGUCUGAUCUCACUGGAGAGGGUCGGGGGGAGAGAGGGUUUUGACGAGGCCUUUCUGGGCCCUGUAUCCCCCUAGGAAGGCAAAGGCCAUGUGGUCAGAGGUUAAGUGUUCAACCUUAGGCCUUGAGCAUUCAAGUGAGGGGUUUUCUGAAUCCACUGCUGGCCUGCCAGGGAAUUUUUCAAGGCCAUCAGUUUGGGGCCCCACGGUCCAGCAGUGGAGGAGGAAGGACUUAGAAACUGUGGCCUGCAGGAGCCUUGGAACCAUAUCUACACCAAGAUCAGGCCCUCUGGCUCUUCCCUCAGGAAGGUAACCACUCAGAAGUCACCAUCAGUCUGCCCAUCCCUCACUUGCCCCUGCUCACCCUUUCAGCCUGUGCUCUGGACAGACUGCCACCUUGCCUAGGCACAUGCGUUAUUCAUUUAUCCAUUCAUUCAGUGAGUAUGGAGUUAUAUAAUCAUUACCAAUUAAAAUAAUUCUCAUUUUUUGAGCACUUAGCUUUAUGCCUGGGUCUGUACACUUUACCUGUCCUGUUUCACUCAGUCCUUACAAGUGCCCACCUCUGUUUUAUAGAUGUGGAAGCUGAGACUUAGAGAAGCCAUGAAACUUGAUCAGGUCAUGCUGCGCCAGAGUACCCAAGCUGGGAUCUGAACCCAGACUGUUUGGCUCCAAAGCUGAACUGCUACAUUACGUUGCCUCAGCAAGCAGUCAUUCAGGUGACUUGGUGAGGACGUGCUCUGGUCAAGCAGCUGUGCCAUAGUCUGGUGAGAGAAAUGAAUAAGGUAUAUUCCUGUACACAGGAAGCCCAGUGGGGGAACCUUGAUGAAACCCUUCUACUCAAAAACCUUUCCUCUGCUUGCAAACUAGAUGUUUGCAAACACUGUUUUGUUGUCAAGUUUCUCAAAAUCUUUUCUGUUGGAGGAGUCCAUUAGAGUUCUCUAAUUUCACUCUUCAGGUGAUGCAGAAGUCUCUACUGCAGACUACCUGCCCCCCUCCACACACACACACAAGGUGGAGACCAUCUAGCUUGGAUUUUAGAGCCAGUCUAUGUGAGUCUGUAUCCUGGCUCAACCAUUUACUACUUGUUUGACCUUGGGCAAGUCCUUUGACCACUCUGAGUCUCAAUUUCUUCAUCCAUCAAGGAGGCAUAACUUCAAUGUUGUGAGGUUUUUGCAAGUAAAGUAACACAUGCAAAACAUUCAGCACCACUCUGGUGUAUAGUAAGACCUGAGAAGUGCCAGCCAUUGUCUUUUGUCAUUAGGGAUGGGCAUCUCUUGCUACCCCAGUGAAGCAGUUCCUUGUCUUGUCUCUUCCUCUGCUUCUGCCACCUGGGGCACUCAGCCCAAGGCAAAUAUACCUGAUGAUGGGGGUUAGUCAUCAGGUUCCCCUGCCUCAGAGGAUGAGAGCAUGACUGCUGCUCUCUGCCCAGGCUCCUAAGAAAUCUGAUUCAUGCCUUGACAGCACUCUAUGAAUAUGCAUACUUCAGCCUCAGCCCUGGCUCCUUUCACAAUGAGCUCAGUCAUUUGCACCUCUUAGGUCAUGUGCAGACAUCCUCAGUAUUACCCACUGAUGGUCCCUGGAGAAACCUCUAAAAAGAUGAGUCUUGAAAGGCAGGUGACAGUGACUUGACUCUCUAGCCCAUGGCUUUGCCUGUUUGGCCAUAUUUCAAAACUGCCAGGGGCCUCUGAAUUGACUGAUGACCCAACAGAGGGUCGCAUUAUUUCAUCUGGUUGCUCUUAAAGUGACAGCUUGGGACAGUCCCAUCUGAAUGGGACCUGGGAGCCUUUUGUUUCACCCUCUUUCUCUCUCCAGUCCUUGGGCGGGGCGGUGGGGGGAGUUCCCUGAAACCCAUGAGAUAGUUGGGGGAUACUGAAAGUUAAGCCCCUCAAAGAGAAGACGUGUGCCUUAGAUUAAUGUUAGUGAUUACAAGCUCCGGGUUUUGAGACUGAUCGGGAUUUGAAACCUGGCUCAGCUUUUUAUUAGCUGUGACCCUAAGUUUCAUAAAUUGUUUUCUCUGAGUCUGUUUUCUCAUCUAUAAGUGGGAUUAAUAGUAGUAUUUAUUUCACAGGAUGGUUGUAAGGAUUAAAUGCAUGAAAGCACUUAACAUAUUGCCUGGCACAUAGUAAGUGCUGCAUGGCUGUUACCAAUAUUACGAUGCAGCAGGAGAGACAGCACCGGACCAAGGGGCAGGAGAUGUAGGUUUGAGUUCCAGCUCUGCUGCUUGCUGACUCUGUUGACCUCAGGCGAGUCCUCUUCAUUUGAGCCAGUUUCAUCAGCUGUGAAAUGAAUGGUUUGAGUUUGAAGGUCACUCAGGUUCUUUCUAGCUGUCUGAGAUCUCUGACUUUGAAGGUGACAAACAAAGGAAAAAAGAAUUAGUAGCAGAUGCCUUUAUUAGCCACGAUAACAUUUCAUAAACCCCAGGGCCUUGACACCAUCUUCAAAAGCCACCCAGUCAGCAGCUUCUAGGCAGAACUUUCUUGACCACAUAGGGUGAAGGAACUGUUUGUAAGACCCCAGAAAGCUCUCCGGAGCCACUGGAAGGCCUCAGGGAAGGUGUAAGGCUAAAAAGCAAAGCCUGCAUCACAAAGAGAGCAGGCAGAAGAAAACCAGCUAACCCCAAACAUCAGACCUGGGGGAUUCUGCCUUUUGUUGCCUUGGGCAAGAAUCAUCCUCCAGCAGAAUGGAUUAGUUUAUGGUAAGGGAGGGAUGUUGUCCCUAGAGGCUGGGGAUGUACUGAUCUGUUGUAAAACAGCCCCCACCUGGGAAAUAGAACAUUUUCUUUUUUGGGGCCUAGUGACCUCUGACCCUGCCCCCCUUCCUGGCCCACCACACAGUCUGAGUCACACCCAGCAGGAGACAAAUGCUGGGAAUGGAGGAGGCAUUCAGGAUCCCCCUUACCCAGAAGAGUCUCCACCAAGUUAUUCUUAAGCCCUGCAUGAACCCCGAGGGGGUGACAUCGGUGGGAUUUACAGAAAAUAAAAACAAUCAGUUUCAACUCGUUCUACCAGUUUUUGCCCCUUACAGUACAAAGUCUCUUAACCAUCUUUAAUGUGACAAAUUUCCCUUUACAAGACAAUGGGCUUUAGAGGAAUUUAGUGAUGUUACUAACAAACUUAAGUACUUUGUGCUAAGCCCCUGGUGCCCAAAUGUUUCAGGUGAGAAAACCUGAAACAUGAAAAGCAGAGAGGUAAAGUGAUUGGCUCAAGUGGUGGAGCUGGUAUUUGAACCCAGAUCCCCUGUUACUUCAGAACCUCGGCUACCACCGUGAUUUUUUGUGCAAACCUGUCUGAAGCCUGUUGGUGAAGCUCUGCCCAGCUGUGAAGAGACACAGAUCUGCCUGCCUUCCGUGGAAGGCUCAGACUCUCUUUCUGGAAGGUCUACCUUCUCUUCCUUGGUGGCUGGGGGAACAGAAGCACAGUGAGGGAGGUGAGUGUGCCAUAUGAUGAGAGGACAGAGCUCAGUGCUCUUCAUUCCUCUGCUUGUGGGAAAGAGGCCAGUUCUAGGGGUGGGGAUUGCAAAGGAGCACCCUGCUUUCCUGUCCUUGUCACAUCCCAUGGCCAGUAGCCAGGUACUUUUUUCUCCUGCCUAGCAAAUAUAGUAUCCAGCUGCAGCCACUUUGAAGAUAAAGUUUCCUCCGUAGGAAUUCAGCAAUACAGAUGUCCUUCCACAGUCCCAGUUCAGCCUUCAUCAGUUCCUUUUCCCGCUGGGAAGUUUCUUUCUUCUUCCUAUUUCCAUGUAACUGUGAGGCAAGGCUCAAACCCACUUCCUUCUCCUUCCCCUGCACCUUCCUGUGGAAGGAGCUCCCGCUUGUUCACAGCUCCAGGCUCUUCCCUACUCUGGCCCAACCUAUGGCAUUUGGUCCAUAACUCUCCUUGAUCUGAACCACUUCGGAUUUCUAUCAAGUCAUGUCAGGGAAUCACACAAAUGUAUUCUGAGAAAUAUAAGAAUGCCUGAGAUGUUCUAGGCAGAAAAGAUUCUGAUAUCAAAACAUUCGGGGAAAGUUUCACACCUCUUCUUAGAAAUGAACAAGGCACAGUCAUCAAGCCUCUGAAAAGUCCUGCAGUGAGGAAACCUGCUUUGUUUUUUAACCCAGUAUUUUCCAAACUAAGAUGACCGUAGUUUCAUCUCCUCCAUCCCCGCUGAAUCCUGUAACGGCCUGUAGAACCAGUGAUCCACUGUGGAACACUCUUUCGGAAACACUGUCCCCAGCCCUCCAGGAAGGCAUAGAGUUGACCUUGCCUUCAUUUAUUUAAGCCCUUCCUGUUUCUCUGGGCUAUUUACUUGUUAUGUCACAUACAAAAUAAUCUAAGGUAAUAUCUGCCCAAUUGGGUUUUUAGGAAAGACAUACCCAAUGGGAAUGAAGCUUUUCCUAGCAGGAUUUGAUGAGCCCAUUACUAGGGGAAAAAAAUGAAGGAUUUCCCAGAAUUUGGGGUUGGGGAGAGAAUUUGAUAUAACCAGCAGAGGCUGAGUGCAAUGGCCUACACCUGUAAUCCCAGCACUUUGAGAGGCCAAGGAGGGAAGAUUGCUUGAGCCCAGGAAUUCAAGACCAGCCUGGGCAACAUAGCAAGACCUCAUCUCAAUUUUUUAAAAAAGGAACAACUAGAAGAAAGGAUUUACCAAACUUACUUGUUUCCUAGUUAAAGGAUAAAGCCAGAGAUGUAAUGGCAGAAACCAAAAUCUAGAGCACAGUACCAGAUAAAUACCUUCAGUGCGAAUGAAUGAAUGAGCAGACUACUGAUCACAAAGUUGGCAGACAUUGUGAAUGAAUGGAUGAAUUAUUAUAAUAAACAAUCAAAUAACUGGUCCCCAGGCCUCCAGACUUCCUUAACUUCAUUUUAUCUACCUGCUGUGGCCAGGUAUAUAUCUUCCCAAAACCCAGAUCUCAUCAGUCCACUCUUCUGUACCCUGGCUGGCUCCCCAUUGCCUUCAGGAUAAAGUCCACAUGCCUUUGUCCUGGCAUUGAAAACUCUGCAAAACAAAGCUCCAACCUAGCUUUCCAUCCUUCUUUCUCCUCCCCACUGGGUACCCCUUACUCUAGUCACAUCAGUCCCCGAUACACUUACCCAUCUUCUUUUCCUUCUCAUGCUAUUCCAUAUACCUCACAUUUUCUCCCCUGCUCCAUGGUUGCUUAUUCAGUCGUAGCAGUGCUUUCAGGCUCAGCUCAAACCUUAUCACCCAUAUUAAAUGAAAGAAGUCAGACACAGGAAGAGGACACUCUGAAUGAUUCCAUUUAUAUGAAGGUUAAGAACUAAACUAUUGUGGGGAAAAAAAAAUACAAAACUGUGGUUGCCUUUGGGGAGUGAGGAUUGAUUAGAAGGGGUUUUUUGGAGUAUGAAAAUGUUCUUGAUUCCAGUGGUAGUUUCAUGGAUGAAUACAUUUACCAAAGUUCAUUGAAUUGUACAUUGAAGAUCUGCAUUUCUCUGUGUCAUCAAUUUAAUCUAAAAAUAAAAAUCUUACUGCCCAGA